rnacentral:rRNA from 1 species
AGAUUGAACGCUGGCGGCAGGCCUAACACAUGCAAGUCGAGCGGCAGCACGGGUACUUGUACCUGGUGGCGAGCGGCGGACGGGUGAGUAAUGCCUAGGAAUCUGCCUGGUAGUGGGGGAUAACGCUCGGAAACGGACGCUAAUACCGCAUACGUCCUACGGGAGAAAGCAGGGGACCUUCGGGCCUUGCGCUAUCAGAUGAGCCUAGGUCGGAUUAGCUAGUUGGUGAAGGUAAUGGCUCACCAAGGCGACGAUCCGUAACUGGUCUGAGAGAUGAUCAGUCACACUAGGAACUGACGACACCGGUCCACGACUCCGUACGGGAGGCAGCAGGUAGGGGAAUAGUUAGGAACAAGUGGGACGUAAACGCCU